UUCUAGUCCAGAAAACCUCCUUCAGAGGCGUUUUGUACAGGAGCAGCUGAAGUUAGUGACCAUGGCCACCACGUCACAGGAGGAAAUGAUGUUCCUCAAAUUCUUGGUACUGGUCCUUUGGAUUCAAUUGGCAUGGGUGAGCACCCAGGGGCUGGAGCAGAGUCCUCCUUUUCAAAGCAUACAGGAGGGAGAAGAUUUCACUGUGUACUGCAAUUCCUCAAGCGUUUUCACCAGGUUUCAGUGGUACCGACAAGAGCCUGGGAAAGGUCUUGUGCUCUUAAUGACAUUAGUAAAGAGUGGAGAAGUGAACAAGCAGAAGAGACUGACCGCUCGCUUUGGUGAGGCAAGAAAGGACAGUUCUCUGCACAUCGCCACAACCCAGCUUGGGGAUGCGGGUGUCUACCUCUGUGCAGGGGCACAGUGCUCUUGGGGCACCUGCUAA